rnacentral:rRNA from 1 species
GGGCGGUCUCCUCCCAAAGCGUAACGGAGGAGCACGAAGGUUAGCUAAUCCUGGUCGGACAUCAGGAGGUUAGUGCAAUGGCAUAAGCUAGCUUGACUGCGAGCGUGACGGCGCGAGCAGGUGCGAAAGCAGGUCAUAGUGAUCCGGUGGUUCUGAAUGGAAGGGCCAUCGCUCAACGGAUAAAAGGUACUCCGGGGAUAACAGGCUGAUACCGCCCAAGAGUUCAUAUCGACGGCGGUGUUUGGCACCUCGAUGUCGGCUCAUCACAUCCUGGGGCUGAAGUAGGUCCCAAGGGUAUGGCUGUUCGCCAUUUAAAGUGGUACGCGAGCUGGGUUUAGAACGUCGUGAGACAGUUCGGUCCCUAUCUGCCGUGGGCGCUGGAGAAUUGAGGGGGGCUGCUCCUAGUACGAGAGGACCGGAGUGGACGCAUCACUGGUGUUCGGGUUGUCAUGCCAAUGGCACUGCCCGGUAGCUAAAUGCGGAAGAGAUAAGUGCUGAAAGCAUCUAAGCACGAAACUUGCCCCGAGAUGAGUUCUCCCUGAGACUUUAAGUCUCCUGAAGGAACGUUAAAGACGAUGACGUUGAUAGGCCGGGUGUGUAAGCGCAGCGAUGCGUUGAGCUAACCGGUACUAAUGAACCGUGAGGCUUAACCUU